AAUUUAAAAACAACAAGAAUAAUAAUUUGUGGACUAAGAACGUGAUUUUUCAAAAGAUGCGUUGACGGAACUGAGGCGACAUCUCGAACACAACAGUACUUGCUAAAUUAGGCGGUAAGAGCGUCACCAUCGUAGUUUAUGACAACAUGGCGUCAGAAUGUUUACAAAAUAUGUAGUCAUUUAUAGCAUUUACCAUGCAAAUAUAAACAAAAAAUUGUAAAUAAUUGCGACGUAAAUGUUUUAAAUGAAGUUACGAUCUGACACAAUAAAAUGGAUAAGUGUUGAAUCUCCUAAGUAAAAAGAAGUGCAUCAUUACUAUCAUUAGAAAAUGUAUAUGCUCUGGAUAUUAGCCAAUGGACCCCGUGAUUGAUUUCUCCACUAAAGUACCUCAUUUAUAAUGGACUCACGUCGAAAUGAGUAUCCACUGAUCUUUUUAGCAUGGGAAGAUUAAGAAUCAUGGCAAUCACCCUAAUAUACUUAUGAAGUUCAAACAAAAAGGUAUCCAAUUUUGAAAGGGCGCUUGCGGAGAUCUAGAAAUAAGGAGAGAAUCGGUAUUUAGCCAUUGGAAAGUCUGAUUUAUUUUUUAGAACAACAGCCGAUGGAAUAAGCAAGUGAUGAUAAGGUAUCCAUUUUUCAACGGACGUUUGCGGAGAUAUAGAAAUAAGGAGAAAAUCAGUAUUCAGCCAUUGGAAAGUCAGAUUUAUUUUUUCGAACAACAGCUGAUGGACCGACCAAGUAUUGAUAAAGUAUCCAAUUUUCAACGGGCGUUUGCGGAGAUGCAGAAAUAAGGAGAUAACUAGUAUUUAGCCAUUCGAAGGUCCGAUUUAUUUUUUGGAACAGCCGAUGGACCGAGCAAGUGAUGAUACGGUAUCCAUUUUUCAACCAACGUUUACGAAAAUGGAGAAAUAAGGAGAGAAUCAGUAUUCACUCAUUAGAAAGUCUGAUUUAUUUUUAGAACAACAGCUGAUGGACCGAGCAAGUGAUGAUAAGGUAUCCAGUGUUCAACACACGUUUGCGGUGAUGUAGAAAUGAGGCGAGAACCAGUAUUCAGGCUUUGGAUAGUCUGAUUUAUUUUUUCGAACAACAACUGAUGGACCGAGCAAGUGAUGAUAAGGUAUCCAUUUUUCAACGGAUGUUUGCAGGGAUGAAGAAAUAUGGAGAGAAUCAGUAUUCAGCCUUUGGAAAGAAAUAUAGAUUUUUUUUAUGAACAACUGCAGAUAGACGGAGCAAGUGAUGAUAAGGUAUCCAAUUUUCAAAGGACGUUUGCAGAGAUGUAGAAAUAAGGAGAAAACAGUAUGCAGCCAUUGAGAAGCUUUUGACGUAUUUCUUUGAACACCAAGCCGAUAGACCAAGCACGUGUUGACAAGGUUCUCAAAUUCCAACGUAGUUUUUACAAGGAGGACAUUUUCCAAAAUUCUGUAUUCAAUAAUAGCCCUGGAUGAAAGAUUUAUGUAGAUUUGCAUCAUUGCCAGUCGAUGACCCUUAAAGUAUCAACGAAAAGGUAACAAUAUGAAAACUUUGUAUUCUUUCCCAGUAAGUGAUUGUUGACAUUACAAUUUGUAAAGAGUG
rnacentral:lncRNA from 1 species